GCUGCCUGACGUCACGACGGGAAGCGGUUUUGGCCGGAACCCAAGCAGGCUGAAGCUUGGACGCGUCUCUUCACCGCAGACGCUGUCCUGAGCCGCAUGCGGGACAGCCCAGCGCUGAGCCCUGUUGAGGAAAACAAAAGAUGGUGGAAUCUGCUUCUACAACAAAGAAAAAUGGUGCACUGAUGUCACGGAGCUCAUCGCACACUGCAGUUUCUCUUUUUCAACUGUAAGUCAUUCUACUAGCAGUGCGACUUUUGUUCAUUCAUACUCGCCGCUGUCUACAUUCCUCCCCAGGCUAACAUGAACACCGCACUGCAAACGCUGGCUCACCAAGUAAACAAACUUGAAGAAAAAAGCGCACUGAGAUUCACCCCUCAUUAUUCUUGGGGACUUUAACAAAGCUCAACCACACAGUCCCUAAAUACACGCAGCACAUUGACUGUCUCACCAGUCAAUUGGGCUUGUCCUAUCGUUGUGUAAUUCACUUAAUACUAACCUAACCCGACACAAACCUAAAUGUGCAAAGUCUGUGGUGAAAACAGUGAAGAAGUGGAACAAUGAAGGAAAGAUGGAACUUAAAGACUUGUUUAGACUGCACAGAUUGGAGUCUUUGAAAUGUCAACUGGCAGCUUGGAUGAAUCUACAGACACUAUUACAUCCUACAUCAGCUUCUGUGAGACGUGUGUGUACCAACAAAGACAUUUCUUACGUUGAAUAACAACGAGCCGUGGUUCACUGCCAGGCUAAAGAGGAUGCCUAUCAGUGUGGGGACAGAGCCCUUUACAAUCAGGCCAGAAACCAGGUGGCAAAAGAAAUCAACAUCGCAAAGACAAAUUAUGCAGAAAAACUGCAAAAACAGUUUCCUGCUAACGACUCUGUCAGUUUGGUGAGGAUUACAAUCGCUAACCAACUACAAGAGAUCGAUACCUUCUACUGCAGAUUUGAAAAGGACAUUUUCACACCCCACACCCACCCAUCCGCACCACGGAUGACCACCAUCACACCUCUCACCCUCUAUCUGCAUUGACGAUUCACGAACAGGAUGUGAAACGUGUCUUUAAACGACAAAAGAUCAACAAAGCGGCGGACCUGGCCAGUGUGUUCCCCUCGUGCUUGAAAGUCUGCAGGGACCAGCUCAUUCCAGUUUUCACACAGCAGUUUUCAAUAGAUCUUUGAAACUGUGUGAAGACCCAUCCUGCCUCAAACGCUCCAUCAUCUUCCCAGUCCCCAGGAAAAAUGCAAUUUCAGGACUGAAUGACUAUAGAGCUGUCGCUCUGACAUCUGUGGUCAUGAAGUCCUUUGAACGCCUUGUGCUGGACCACCUCAAGAGCAUCACAGGACCCCUGCUGGACCCCCAGCAGUCAACAUUGGAUUGUACUUCAUCCUGGAACAACUCGACAACGCAGGGACCUAUGUGAGGAUCCUGUUCAUAGACUUCAGCUCUGCAUUCAACACCAUCAUCCCAGAACUCCUCUCCUCCAAGCUUCUCCAGCUCAGCGACUUGCCUGCCAUUUGCCAGUGGAUCUACAGCUUCCUGACGGACAGGAAACAGCAGGUGAGGCUGGGUGACACCACCUCAUCCACACGCACCAUCAGCACCGGGACGCCCCAAAGAUGUGUACUCUCGCCGCUAUUUUUCUCUCGCUACAUGAACAACUGCACCCCAACGCACCCGACUGUUAAAUUUCUGAGGUUCGCAGACGACACCACAGUCAUCGGCCUCAUCAAAGACGGUGACGAGUCGACAGGAAGUGGAGCGGCUGGAGCUUUGGUGCAGCCAACAAAAUCUGGAGCUGAACACUCUCAAGACGGUAGACUUCAGGAAUCAUCCUUCGCCACAGCUGCCCCUCACACUCUCCAACUGCCCUGUGUCAACCGCCGAGACCUUCAAGUUGCUGGGAAUGACAGUUUCUCAGGACUUGAAGUGGGAGACCAACAUCAAUUCCAUCCUCCAAAAAGCCCAGCAGAGGAUGUACUUCCUGUGACUUCUGUGGAAGCACAGCCUGCCACAGGAGCUAUUGAGGCAGCAGUAUUCUUCACAGCAGUAAUUGAAUCGGUUCUGUGUUCAUCCAUCAGUCUGGUGUGGUGCUGCCACAAAGGACAUAUUCAGAAUGCAACGGAUAGUCAAAGCUGCAGAAAAAAUUCUUGGUACCCACCUACUCACUCUUGAGGACUUGCAUGAGGCCAGAACUAAGAUAAGGGCAUGCAAAAUCCUCUUGGACCCUCAACAUCCUUGUCACCACCUAUUCCAGCUCCUUCCCUCAGAUGUGGCUACGUGGUACGUGUUUUCUGCAUCGUGCUGAAAGGCUUUCUACGAUAUGUACAGCAUUAGGAUCUGCCGUGAAUGUGGAAGUCUGUAUAAAAGCAGCAAACCUGGAUAUGUUGCAGCAGGGAAAGGGGGAGUACUGCAGGCUAUGUACUCUGAAGACCCUCAUCCAGGAUACUGCAGUGCCUUCUGCAGCCAAAUGCAAUAUGUUAACAUAGGGCUGCACAAUGAAUCGAAUUUUAAUCGUUAUCGAGAGUUUGGCUG